rnacentral:sRNA from 1 species
UCCCUCCCAAGAUUAUGUGCUCAGUCACAGAGGAGACCUUCCCUGAUAGAGGAGGAUUAUUCUUUGGUCAAAGGUAUAUGAGAAGCUGCACUCCCCUACAAGAACUUCCAAACAAACUCUCAAAAUAAUAAUUCCUCGUACUUAUC